rnacentral:rRNA from 1 species
GAAUUUUGGACAAUGGGCGAAAGCCUGAUCCAGCAAUGCCGCGUGCAGGAUGAAGGCCUUCGGGUUGUAAACUGCUAUUGUCCGGAACGAAAAGCUUUGGGUUAAUACCCUGGAGUCAUGACGGUACCGUUAGAAGAAGCACCGGCUAACUACGUUCCAGCAGCCGCGGUAAUAUGUCGGGUGCAAGCGUUAAUCGGAAUUACUGGGCGUAAAGAGUGCGCAGGCGGUUGUGUAAGACAGAGGUGAAAACCCCGGGCUCAACCUGGGAACUGCCUUUGUGACUGCAAGGCGAGAGUACGGCAGAGGGGGGUGGAAUUACGCGUGUAGCAGUGAAAUGCGUAGAUAUGCGGAGGAACACCGAUGGCGAAGGCAACCCCCUGGGCCUGUACUGACGCUCAUGCACGAAAGCGUGGGGAGCAAACA